GAUGAACGCUGGCGGCGUGCCUAAUACAUGCAAGUCGAGCGAACGGACGAGAACCUUGCUUCUCUGAUGUUAGCGGCGGACGGGUGAGUAACACGUGGAUAACCUACCUAUAAGACUGGGAUAACUUCGGGAAACCGGAGCUAAUACCGGAUAAUAUUUUGAACCGCAUGGUUCAAAAGUGAAAGACGGUCUUGCUGUCACUUAUAGAUGGAUCCGCGCUGCAUUAGCUAGUUGGUAAGGUAACGGCUUACCAAGGCAACGAUGCAUAGCCGACCUGAGAGGGUGAUCGGCCACACUGGAACUGAGACACGGUCCAGACUCCUACGGGAGGCAGCAGUAGGGAAUCUUCCGCAAUGGGCGAAAGCCUGACGGAGCAACGCCGCGUGAGUGAUGAAGGUCUUCGGAUCGUAAAACUCUGUUAUUAGGGAAGAACAUAUGUGUAAGUAACUGUGCACAUCUUGACGGUACCUAAUCAGAAAGCCACGGCUAACUACGUGCCAGCAGCCGCGGUAAUACGUAGGUGGCAAGCGUUAUCCGGAAUUAUUGGGCGUAAAGCGCGCGUAGGCGGUUUUUUAAGUCUGAUGUGAAAGCCCACGGCUCAACCGUGGAGGGUCAUUGGAAACUGGAAAACUUGAGUGCAGAAGAGGAAAGUGGAAUUCCAUGUGUAGCGGUGAAAUGCGCAGAGAUAUGGAGGAACACCAGUGGCGAAGGCGACUUUCUGGUCUGUAACUGACGCUGAUGUGCGAAAGCGUGGGGAUCAAACAGGAUUAGAUACCCUGGUAGUCCACGCCGUAAACGAUGAGUGCUAAGUGUUAGGGGGUUUCCGCCCCUUAGUGCUGCAGCUAACGCAUUAAGCACUCCGCCUGGGGAGUACGACCGCAAGGUUGAAACUCAAAGGAAUUGACGGGGACCCGCACAAGCGGUGGAGCAUGUGGUUUAAUUCGAAGCAACGCGAAGAACCUUACCAAAUCUUGACAUCCUUUGACAACUCUAGAGAUAGAGCCUUCCCUUCGGGGGACAAAGUGACAGGUGGUGCAUGGUUGUCGUCAGCUCGUGUCGUGAGAUGUUGGGUUAAGUCCCGCAACGAGCGCAACCCUUAAGCUUAGUUGCCAUCAUUAAGUUGGGCACUCUAAGUUGACUGCCGGUGACAAACCGGAGGAAGGUGGGGAUGACGUCAAAUCAUCAUGCCCCUUAUGAUUUGGGCUACACACGUGCUACAAUGGACAAUACAAAGGGCAGCGAAACCGCGAGGUCAAGCAAAUCCCAUAAAGUUGUUCUCAGUUCGGAUUGUAGUCUGCAACUCGACUACAUGAAGCUGGAAUCGCUAGUAAUCGUAGAUCAGCAUGCUACGGUGAAUACGUUCCCGGGUCU
rnacentral:rRNA from 1 species